rnacentral:lncRNA from 1 species
GCUCCUUUUCCGGUAUAUGCUUUCUCAUGCCUUAACAGAAGGCCUUCUGCCUCCUCGGGCACCUCGUGCUACUAUCACGAAAUCCUUGGCUUCCCACAAGAAAGCAGCCAACCAUCCCUCCACUUUACCUCAAAAAAAACUCUCUCUCUCUUUCUCUCAACAUUCACACACAAUAUAAAUAGCCAGCAGAUAUCAACGGGAACUAGAUUCAAAAAACAUUGGUUCUUUAAUCUUUAAGGAUGAGAGGUGCACUUGUUUCAAGACUGACCGGUGUUGUCUUGAUGGUCCUAGGGAUAACAAUGGCGAGUGGUGCUAGUUUGGAAAAAAUUUGGGUGAUAAUUGCUAAACUCUUGGUGCUCUUUGGGCCUCUUGUGGCCUCAACACUGACUGCAGUUGUGAUUGAUUUAGGGGUUUUAAGGCCACACUUGCAUGAAGCCCUUUUAGGUGAGCAGGUGAAUGAGAUCAUGUCAUGGCUCUUUCAACCCCUAGAGGUGAGUAAUUACUCGCAAAUUCAUGAAGACCAUGGCUGAACAUCAUCUCUCUUCUCAAAAUCAGUCACUUUUGCAGAUUCUCGCAUCUAGAACCGUACAGCUCUCCUGUAACAUAUGCGCCUUUCAAUCUAAAUGUUUAUAGUCUUCUUUUCCUCUUCAAACAAGUUUUUACUAGUAUCAAAUUUUGCCUGUCGGUAUCCCAUUUCUGACUUUAACCAGGGUGAGAUUCUGCCAGUUCUCUUUUCUUUUCUUUUUUUUGUACUGUUAACUGAGAUUCUGGCAUUUAUUGACACGACAAUCACCCCUGCAAGAGAGAUGCCGUAGUCCAUGCAAAAGAAAGAGAGAGAAAGAGGACAAGUGAGUGAGAGAAAGACUGCAAUUUCCAGCAACCAAAAAUGCAACGACCGCCUCACCCUGUUUCAUCCAAACCCUGCGAACCCAUCAUAAUAGCAGUUCAUAAUACGUGAGGACACAUUUAACACCACUGCACGAGAGAGAGGGGACAAGUGAGAGAGAGAGAGAGAGAGAGCCAUUUCCACCAACCACAAAUGCAAUAACCACCUCACCCUGUUUCAUCUAAACACCGCAAAGUGCAAACCCAUCAUAAUAGCAGUUCACAACAUGAGACUACCCAUAACACUAACACUGCACAUAAAUUACAAACACCACCCACCCCUCAACUUGAGCUCUCUGCUGGCUUACGCUUAAUUGUGACUACAUGCAGCUCUUUGUAGACCUCCGAGCAAGUGUGUGCAUAAUCUGAUAUGGCCCUAAAGAGAGGUGGAAGCCCAGUCUUAAGGCUCCCCAAGGACUUCUCUCUCAC